UACGGAGGGUGCGAGCGUUGUCCGGAAUCACUGGGCGUAAAGGGCGCGUAGGCGGCGCGGAUAGUCGGCGGUGAAAGCCCGGAGCUCAACUCCGGGUCGGCCGUCGAUACUUCCGGGCUUGAGCACUGUAGAGGCAGAUGGAAUUCCGGGUGUAGCGGUGGAAUGCGCAGAUAUCAGGAGGAACACCGGUGGCGAAGGCGGGUCUCUGGGCCGAUGACUGACGCUGGAGGAGCGAAAGCAUGGGUAGCGAACAGGA
rnacentral:rRNA from 1 species